UUCAUUUUUCUGUCUUUUGGCUAAGAUCAAGUGUAAUAUUUGUUUACCAGUUCAAUAUCUGGUAUAUAAACAAUAUAUUCACUUUUACAUUAAAUUCAUUUAUUAUGGGUGUUUUUAUGUGGGGUCCAUUAAGACUCUCAAGUGUCGCUCCAAUCAAUGUCAUCAAAUAUAGUUGGGUACCGUCGCAACCCAU
rfam:Zea mays cultivar B73 chromosome 1, whole genome shotgun sequence.